GUACUCGCUUUGGCAGUACACUCACUAAAACUGGAACGAUACAGAGAAGUUUAGCAUGGUGUCUGCGCAAGGAUGACACGCAAAAUCGUGAAGCGGUAAAAAAAGAA